GGCCUCGGCCGGGGCUGCUGGGCUCCGCCGAGCCCCCGGAGGGGCGGCCGGGCCGGCCCCAGCCGCCACCGCACUGCGGUGCCUCCGGGGAGAUGCGGAUCCGCCCGGCGAGUUGGGCUCCCGGGCGGCCGCGGGGCUUGGCGCCGGCCCUGCGGGCUGAGGGUGCGGGCUGCGGGGCUGUGUGCGGCACACACGGUGCCUCCGGACCGCCUCUGCCCAUCCUCAGCCUUACAGCGCUCGGGAAGGGAAGGACGUGCCUGGGUGGACCCGGCUGUUCCCCGGGUGCAGAGCCGGCUUUUCCCCGUGGCACUGUCCGCCUGCUGAAGCAUAACGUAGCUAAAGCACUAAACCCCGUGUUUGGGAGGCAGGUGCUGUGCAGGGAAGCAAAGGAGCGAGCUGUCAGCGCUUCGGAGGUAGGAGUGCUGUUCCCAUUGCGGUUUCAGGUUGGAAAGGCUGGUGCUGUCAGGUGAAAACAGCGCUGUGGUUGCUGCUUCAGUCAGGCGGCACUGACGUUACUUCUUUAAUUGAACAGCCCGGUUUGCUGCCUAAUGACAUUAAGUGACAGCUGUCAGCUCGAGAUAGAAACGGGUUAUUUGCCCAGCAGAGAAGUAGAGCUGAGCAGAUCACAGAAGGAAUUUCUCAAUUUCUCGGAAGUGACUUCGUUAACGGAAUUCAGGUCUGCACGCUUUUCUUGCCUGAUUUUUAAAGAUCAAAACCACUGAAAACAAAGCAAAAGAAAAAAAAAAAAGGUGAAGUUUUGAGUCAGUGUGUUUGGCAGCUCCCCCAGUUGGUUGGGUCCCUUGUACACAGCCAAAAUGCAUCGUGUCACGGGAAAAGUGACUCAGUUUGAAACAUAUUCUUAAAAAAUAGAGUGUUUCUCCCAGUUGUAGUUCUCAGCAGAUUUGUCUAGUGGCGUAGUAAUUUCUUGCAUUUUAGAAAUGAGUCUUUGUUGACAGAUGCCAGGCUUUAGAAACAAAAAGGGGAAGUCAGACUAAUGCAGUCAGAACAAAGGGAAAGUGUAAAGCAGGCGGCAUGGAGUGAUUUUUGGAUGUAGGGUGCUUAUGUUAUCUGAAGAUAUUUUGCCUUAUAGAUACAAAAUAAUUUUGAUCAUGUGAAGUCCUUUAUUUUGCUAACUCUAGUAAGGUAAUAUUUCUUAAAAGGGAGGUUCCAUGGCUGAACAAGCAAUAGGAAGGAGGCUAUUCUGCACUCGGUUUGUUUGUUUUAAUUGAGGUGAUAAGGCCAAGUUUUAUUUGGUCAGGGUUUGAAAACACUUGCCUUAAUAAUUUUCUGUACUAUUCAAGCCAGAGAGUUCAGAAGAGUGGAAUUGA